AUUCUACUUAAAUAACUCACAAUAGCUUCAGGGUAGUUUUAGGGUAGGGACUGGUCACCAUAAAGAUCAGGUACAUCACCAGCGAUGUUCCUGAACUUUGAACCCGAUAGCUAAGCCUUCAGAGAAAAGAGGGGCUGGAGAUAGAGUUCAGUCACAAAGCCAGUGAUGUCUACAUAAUAGCAGACCAGCAAGAAAAAGAUAACCCGCUGUACUUGAGAGUUCAGAGUUUGCUGGUUAGUGGAUACAUGGAUGUGUUAGCAAAGUGAUGUGCCUGGAUUCCAUGAAGGAAUGGUUUUGUCAACUUGACAAAUCUAGACUCAUCUGGGAAGAGGAAGUUACAACUGAGGACAUGAUUUGACCUGUAGUCAAGUCUGAUGAUGUAAGCGAACAAUAUGCAGUUGAUGGAAAUUCGGGCUGGAGAAAGCUAGUGACUGCGAUUGAGCAUUCUGAGCAUGUCCGUGGAAUCGAAGCCGAGGAGCCCGCUCCACUCUCAGGAUGAUGCAUUGCACCUGUUUCCCAGGCAAGACAUCUACAGCUGGAGAACGGAGGACUUCUGGCCCAUGUCUCUGGUUUUGAUAUCGUUCUUAUAGAUGAUGGGAGGGCGUGAAGCAUUAUAUCAAAAAAGGACUUUGCAAAAAUCUAUAUUCGGAUGUUAAAUGGAUGGUUUUGUCAGACUGUUGACUCACUUCCACUGGGACCUCAGAGAACAAUUGGCAGAUGGAAAUGUACCCAAGACACAGCAGCUGUGGCAUUUUCUCCAUGUCGCCAGGCAGUUAGCCAGACAUGGACUUGGCUGUACUGUGGUACAGCACCAGUCAUCCAAAGAAGUUUCCUGUGUUGUUUCAGAGUUGAUUUCAAAUCUACGAAUGCCAAGUCAUCACCAUAAGAGCCACCAUGCAACAUCCUCAUAGCCUCUCAACUUGCAGUGUGACCUUGUGUGGCUUUCCAAGCCCAAACCCUAUCUUUCCCUAAAUAGAAAGAGUUUGAGGUCUCCAAAGUAGACACCCUUGGUCAAAGAACACUAGUAGACAUGAAGGGUUCCCACCACCCUCCAUUUCUGAGGAAGGAAGAAACAUUUGAGAGAAUGUGUACUAUA